rnacentral:rRNA from 1 species
GAUGAACGCUGGCGGCGUGCUUAACACAUGCAAGUCGAACGGAAAGGCCCUGCUUUUGUGGGGUGCUCGAGUGGCGAACGGGUGAGUAACACGUGAGUAACCUGCCCUUGACUUUGGGAUAACUUCAGGAAACUGGGGCUAAUACCGGAUAGGAGCUCCUGCUGCAUGGUGGGGGUUGGAAAGUUUCGGCGGUUGGGGAUGGACUCGCGGCUUAUCAGCUUGUUGGUGGGGUAGUGGCUUACCAAGGGUUUGACGGGUAGCCGGCCUGAGAGGGUGACCGGCCACAUGGGGACUGAGAUAGGGCCCAGACUCCUACGGGAGGCAGCAGUGGGGAAUAUUGCACAAUGGGCGGAAGCCUGAUGCAGCAACGUCGCGUGCGGGAUGACGGCCUUCGGGUUGUAAACCGAUUUCGCCUGUGACGAAGCGUGAGUGACGGUAAUGGGUAAAGAAGCACCGGCUAACUACGUG